UUUCCCAGUAUGUAAGACCCCUUGAAGACGACGAGGUAGAUAGGUUGGAGGUGGAAGCACGGCAACGUGUGGAGCUGACCAAUACUAAUCGGUCGAGGGCUUAUCCAAAU
rnacentral:rRNA from 1 species